UAAAAGGCUAUCAAGAGAUAGCAAGCUAGCAAGUCUAUCUCACUAUGUCUUAUGAUGUUCACGUCUCGAGAAAAUGUUCUUAGACGAUUAGGGAUGUAAUGACGUCCACUGAUUUAAAACUAUCUUGUAUUGAACUCUCGGCGUAGUAUUGAAAGUCUUCGGGGGAAAAAAGAAUCUUUGGAAUUGGAAUAUUUUAGUGUAGUAUAAGGCUUACGACGAAGCCUCCAUGCGACUAGAUUCAACGACGAAUAAUAACAAUUUCUUUUCUACUACUUAACUUUGCAAGAGGAAAUAUCAUCAGAUGUAAGAAAGAGAAAAGCAGGUCCAAUUGACAUUGGCAGAAAUAUUGAAAGAGUUCAAGCUUUCGAAAAAAGAAGACAAAGGGAAGUUGAUGGCUUAAAUCAGAGAGCUUGAAUUUAUAACCAUGUAGUCUUCAAUCCAUUACUGGAUUUAAGUAAAGGCUGGCGAACUCGUGAAGUGAAACUUUUGUCGAUGGAAGCAGUGGGAAAAUAACAACAUGACGAUGAAGAUCACGAUGGCUGUCGUCGUUAUCGCUUCAUUAUUGGUGGCGCAGUGUAUUACAGUGGCGUCAGUGUCACCUUCUACUGGGACUUGCUUUAAAAGAUGUAUCGAAAAGAUUCCAUGUAACGAGACAUGUAAGAAGACUUGUCAUCAGCUGUUCGCUCGUCAAG